rnacentral:RNase_P_RNA from 1 species
CGAGCCGGGCGGACGGCCGCGUGAGGUCCCUUACGGGACUUCCCGAGGAACGUCCGGGCUCCACAGGGCAGGGUGGUGGCUAACGGCCACCCGGGGUGACCCGCGGGACAGUGCCACAGAAAACAGACCGCCGGGGACCUCGGUCCUCGGUAAGGGUGAAACGGUGGUGUAAGAGACCACCAGUGCCCAGGGUGACCUGGGCAGCUAGGUAAACCCCACCCGGAGCAAGGUCAAAAGGAGCGCGGUGAAACGCGCUCUGCGCGGACGUUCGAGGGCUGCCCGCCCGAGUCCGCGGGUAGACCGCACGAGGCCGGCGGCAACGCCGGCCCUAGAUGGAUGGCCGUCACCGGAGGGCCCGCGAGGACCCCCCGGAACAGAACCCGGCGUACAGCCCGACUCGUCUG